CCCUUAGAUGUCCUGGGCCGCACGCGCGUUACACUGAUGCAUUCAACGAGCUUAUAACCUUGGCCGAGAGGCCUGGGCAAUCUUGUUAACGUGCAUCGUGAUAGGGAUAGAUUAUUGAAAUUAUUAAUCUUGAACGAGGAAUUCCUAGUAAACGCAGAUCAUCAAUCUGCAUUGAUUACGUCCCUGCCCUUUGUACACACCGCCCGUCGCACCUACCGAUUGGAUGGUCCGGUGAAGCAUCGGGAUUGUGGUUCUUGCCGCUUUAUUGUGGCGUGACCGCGAGAACUUGUCUAAACCUUAUCAUCUAGAGGAAGGUGAAGUCGUAACA
rnacentral:rRNA from 1 species